UACGGGGGGAGCAAGCGUUGUUCGGAUUCAUUGGGCGUAAAGGGUGCGUAGGCGGCGCGGUAAGUCGGAUGUGAAAUCUCGGAGCUUAACUUCGAAACUGCAUUCGAUACUGCCGUGCUUGAGGACUGGAGAGGAGACUGGAAUUUACGGGUGUAAGCGGUGAAAUGCGUAGAUAUCGUAAGGAAGACCAGUGGCGAAGGCGAGUCUCUGGACAGUUACUGACGCUGAGGCACGAAGGCCAGGGGAGCAAACGGG
rnacentral:rRNA from 1 species